UUUUUUUUUUUUUCCGAUAGUAUAGCUGAAACUGUCAGAGAUUGCCAAAUCAUAGGUUUAGAUUAAACCUGCUAAAAGGCUAGCUGAUAAUUACUAAAAUCUUACUUGUUUUGAAACAAUCCAACCAAAAGUUCAACCUUCUUAUGACUUUUUGGCCUUUUCGGUCCCCGUACGAUGUUAAUUCUUGAAGCCAUCUGAUUGCACGGUCUCAUUAACACUUUAUCUCGACAACCAAAUUCAUAUAUAUAAUAUAUAUAUCUCUCCCUCUUUCAUACUAAAACUUAACCUAUAGUAAUAAUAAUUUUCAUGCAACACUUAUUUAUAGCCACAUUUUCACAUGGUGUCUUAUUUUUUUUUUUUUUAUUUCCACGACUAACACGCAUGCUACCCCUGAAGUGAUACAUAUAUAAGGUGGGCAGCAUCUGUUGCCACUAGUAAUUCUCUCAUCAUAUGUCGUAAUGAGACUUAAUUAAAUGCGUUGCGCAUAUAUGUAUACAAAAAAAUGUCUUUGAAAUAUGCUCAAUUUACCAUCAUUGAUAUCAAUACUUUGUUUGGAAAUUAAAAAAAAUUCGAAGCACUUUGUUAUAUAAACUUAUCUUCGCCUUCAUAUCUUCUAGAGUGUUAUCCAGACAUUGUGAUAAUGCUUGCGUGCCGGAGUCGUAUCACUUUUGUUCUGUGUGCUAUACUCAGCUAGGAGACAAUUACGCUAUCGUUUUCCAUUGUGACCCAAAAGUAGAAGGGAGUAGAGGGAGCAUAUCUUUAUCAGUUUAUCUAUCUAUAUUUGGAACCUUGUCUUAUAUAUAUAUAUAUUCAUGAGAGGGAUAUAAUUAAGGCAUUGGAGGACAAGAUAUAUAGACACAUCUCAUACCUAAAAACACCAAUUUCGUCUCCUUUGGUGACACUAUUAUGCGGGAGACAUCGAGCAUUACGUGCACUUACUCUCUCUAAUCUCUUUAUAAUCACCAUUGCCAUAUUAAUAUUAAUUUGAAAGUACACGACGGUGCGCGGUGUUUGUUAUAAUUUAAUAGACCAUCCGGAUUCAAUUCAAUUCGCAUAUUAAAAGAUCUUACAUAUGUAUUUAAAGUACAAGCAUCUACAUUUGAUAAAAAAAUUUGUCGCUAUAUAUUUCUUAGUCUCAACCAUUAUCAUAAAUAAAUUAAUUAUGUCGGUAUAUCUUUAUUUAUUUUUUAUAUUGUGCUUCUCAACAACAUUUGAAGUCAAAUCUUGAGGCUGCACCACCAACCCAUUCUCGAAUAUGCUACAUGCUUAUGAGCAUAUGCUCGUGAAUUAGUCUUCAUUAUUUCUUUAUCUUUUUCUUAAUUUAUUUAUUUUUCUUUCCCAUCAGAAUUUUAAUUAUUUACCUUUGUUUUUACAUAUUUAAUUUGUUUGGUUUAUCAAUUGUUGACUUGGGCUCUUGGAUUGCAUAUGCUAACUGCCAGUGCGCUAUGAUCAGAAACAUCGUGGGUCUGCCGUACAAAACAUAUUAAUGUAUAUAGUCAGAAAAAUAAACUGAUGUAAUCACCCAAAAAAAAAAAAAUUAGAAGAAAAUGAAACAGAAGAAAUGAGAAAUGUGCUUAAGAGGAGAAUAAUUUGAAUCGAUUCUGAUCAUGACCAAACCUUUAAAAAGUAAAAUAAGAUUUUUAGAUCACUUAGAUUAGAAGCGUUGACUUGUGUGAUCCCAAAUAAAGCUAUGACUUUAUUUGUUUAUUAUCUAAAUUAAAAGCAUUGACUUGUGUGAUCCCAAAUCUAAGCUGAUCUGCUUACAGCCACCAUUGUAAUUUUUUUUUUUUUUUUUCACACAUAUGCUAUAUGCCUACGUACGUUUUAAAUUAACUUUUAACAAACUGUCAGGAAAAAAUAAUAAUAAUAA
rnacentral:lncRNA from 1 species